CACGUAGGGGACGAGCGUUGUCCGGAUUCAUUGGGCGUAAAGGGCGCGUAGGCGGCGCAACAAGUCACUUGUGAAAUCUCCGGGCUUAACCCGGAGCGGUCAAGUGAUACUGUCGUGCUAGAGUGCGGAAGGGGCUACUGGAAUUCUCGGUGUAGCGGUGAAAUGCGUAGAUAUCGGAGAGGAACACCUGGCGGCGAAGGCGGGUAGCUGGGCCGACACUGACGCUGAUGCGCGAAAGCCAGGGGAGCGAACGGG
rnacentral:rRNA from 1 species